rnacentral:rRNA from 1 species
GCGUAUAUUAAAGUUGUUGCAGUUAAAAAGCUCGUAGUUGAAUUUCGGGAUCAAGGAAUCGGUCAUGCCUCGGUAUGUACUGGUUUUAUUGGUUCUCACCUUCUAAAGAACCAUGAUGUCAUUCAUUUGAUGUUAUGGGGAAUUAGGACUGUUACCUUGAAAAAAUUAGAGUGUUUAAAGCAAGCUUACGCUUGAAUACAUUAGCAUGGAAUAAUGAAAUAGGACAUCCGAUUCUAUUUUGUUGGUUUCUAGGAUCGAUGUAAUGAUUAAUAGGGAUAGUUGGGGGCAUUAGUAUUCAAUUGUCAGAGGUGAAAUUCUUGGAUUUAUUGAAGACUAACUACUGCGAAAGCAUUUGCCAAGGAUGUUUUCAUUAAUCAAGAACGAAAGUUAGGGGAUCGAAGACGAUCAGAUACCGUCGUAGUCUUAACCAUAAACUAUGCCGACUAGGGAUCGGAUGAUGUUUAUUUUUUAGUGACUCAUUCGGCAC